UCUGAUGUAUCUAACUGAGCACAAAUCUGGUGUAAUUCCACUGCAAACUGCAGCUUUACUCCGGAUUAAUACUGGUGUGAAUAAGACUAAGGUUUGGCUGCAAGUCUCAGCUCUCCCCUCAUUCCUGAAAGAUACAAACACGAAGGUCUAAACAUCUACAGUUAUGUAUUGCAUAAAAUAUUUCCUGGCUAGGAAAACCUCGUGGGACAAUGAUCAGGAACAAGAUGGUGCAAAUAAUCAGUUUAAUUGAAAGUAAAGGCACAUUACUGAAAAUAGAGGGAAGAAAGAUUUUUCCUUUGCCAGCUUUAAUACAAGCAAUAUUAGUAGCAGCUGCAUUUCAACCCAUUUUGCAGAUAACCCUGAGAGGGGCAUUCUGAAAGCUGAAUGGUUUAAUUGCAUAGGCUACCCUUUAAUUUAGGGUGCUGAGAAUGAUAGGAUGGACUCAUUAAAUUGGGACAUUAACCAUAGCAGAAAGUAAAGUAGUUUCUUUGUUGCAGAAGACUCCUACCCGACUACUAAAUUGUUCACGGGAACCGCGGCGAAGCAGGAUGGGUAGAUGGAGACGUGUUGGGAUGGAGGGAAGGAAAGGAAAAAUAAGUGGUAAAAGCACUGCAGACUGUAUGUCACUGCUGAGGGUUAUUUCAGAACUGCCCAGUUACUGCUGCCAGCUGGGGCACAGUAAGGCACCGCACGAGGUCAGGCCGAAAUCCCUGGGGCAGGGCUGCUCCCCAUGAGGCAGUAGGGUGCUGAUGCCACUCUCCUUCCCCCGGAGCAGAGCACAAAGCUGGAGAUACUCCGCAAGCCCUUCCUUCCACCCGCCUCGGUGUGAAUGUAAUGAAGCGCAGCACGCCAGGCGCUUCGCUUGGUGGUGGCACCGGUUUAAACAAACCGCGGUGAAGAUCUUUCAGCAGUUGUCUUUGUGUUUGGAAUAUUUUGCUGUUUGGGGGACUUGCUGUCCUCUCCUUCUACCCACUGUAAGGUCUCCUUGCUGACUGACCUGUUUUCUUACUGGGGGACACCACGGAGCUGACGCACGAAGCACGGCCAGCAGCUGUCCAGGAGCCGUGGCACCAUCAGCGGGCUGGGAAGGUCUGGCUGCAUCCAAAGCUUUGAGCAGGAGUCACCAGGUCACCGUUACAUGUAGAAGCCACUACAGGGACACCAGCACACACCAUGAGAUGUGGAGCAUGUCAAGACAUCGGGUUCACCCUCCUGCCCCCCCAGGAACACAGCUCAGCCCCUAGAUGACCAGGAGCAUUGGGACUUCCCCUCCCUUUAAGCAUAACCUCAAAGCCAACAACGACAAACAUCGCUCUCAGAAGUGCAGAAGAAAGCGUCGUGGCGUGAACCUCAAGGGCUCGAAGCCUCGGAAGCUGGUGACUAGGAGGGGAAAAGCCCCCAUCCCAGACCUGCUGGGUGUCACAUCACAACCACCACCUCGCCAUGCACAGCAGGUGAUGCCGGUCCGGUGGGGACAGCAGGGAACUUGGUCUGAACUGGAAGCAACUGGUCCCAGGAGCUCAGAGCCCAGUUCCAAAGUGGGGUGAAGUUGGAGUAACGCUGCCCUUGCUCCCCAGCAAAACAAAGCCUUUUUAAUGACUCUUUCCCCAAGCUCAGGAUUGGGUCCAUAAAACAGAAACUGUACUUCGAUACCAAAUGAAAAACAUUACUCACAGACUGUAAUUCCUUUCUGCAAAUACCGGAGGAGAAUAUUUCAUUUGGCAAACAAUUGAGCCUUACAGUUUAGAGCUCUUAAUGUGAUUAGGGACAGGUUCUGCAACACAUUUGUAACUCCAGGUGAUUUUGCUAUAUCUUUUUGGACUGUGACCAGACAUAAAAUGCCCUUUUGCUAGAUUUGGAUCCAACUGAAAUUGAGGAGAAUCAGAUGUCGGCAAGUCCUUUCCAGUUUGAUCUUUACCCAUGGGUAUCACAACACGCUUCAGCUACAGACUGCGCAGAGCAGCUCUGCAAUCGUGGGCUCUUUUUUGCAUUAAGCACAUCUCUGCUCCGCUGAGUGAUAGCUUUCCUGCAGCACACACUCUGUAAACAAGCAAGCACUGCUCUGAAUUACCAUGAUGUACUUAUGGGGCUGGGAGAGAGAGCAGGAUACUUCCACUGGCCCUAUGGACACAACUUCCUUUCCUUUCCAUCUUCCCAAGUUACUUCAGGAAACUCAAAUCUGGCUCGAAGCAAGCUGAGACAAGGCCCCCCCAGCAUUUCAUCCUGAAAUCCCCGUGUUUUGUGGGACCAGAUCCCUCAGGGAAGUUUUCCACUCUCACACCCCGUCUCUAGCGGUGUUGCUGCCUCCACUACCAAAGGUAAGGCUGCCAUGGAUUAAAUAAAAUUAAUUUAUUACCUACAUGGGAAGGAGGCAGAAAGAGAGCACCAAAGAGGAAAGCUAAAUUAUUCUGCAUGUGCAGCUGAGAAACAAAACCAAGCUUGACCUUUAAGCCAUCAAUAAGAAAAAAAUCCUUCUUUUCUUGCUCAUGAGGACUCCGUGCUGGCAUCACAGGCGUGGGUGCUCUGGCUGUCCCCAGCCUCCCCUGCACCCCACCAGGAGCUUCUCGUGGGGGCAAUGAGCAUUGCUAGCCAAGGAGCCACCAGCCCCUCAGCACAGCCCGAGUAAGACGAUACUAUUGAGUAUUUAUGGCGAGCUAUAAAGCAGGAAAAAAAAAUACAUGCUCGAACAGAUUUAUCACUCUCCAAAAGGAGGAAAAUUGCACUAAGGACAGACCCACAUCACUGUCCUAAGCAGGUAGGUCAACGAAGUGUCAGCGAUGGGAAAAACAGAUCAGGGCUGUGCACAUUAAGGCCUUGUGUUCAUGGAAUGGCCAUCACAGCCUAGGCACGAUGCAAAGGAAUACGCUUGAAGUGUUUUACGACGUCGUUGAUCUUUGCGACCCCAAUAGCUCUGCUUUAUUCACGCCAAGGGAGGGCAAGCUGCUCGAGGACAGAGACCAAAGAGGUGACACAAAGCGAUACCUUCGUCGAGGAAAAGCUGCAUCCAUGCCCAAUGCCGUGGCCGUGUGGAGGGAAGAACUUCGGGCAGCACCACGCACCAAGGAGAACUGAGCCAGGGGAGGAAAGUCUUCGUGCUACCGAAAUAAUGAGGUCUUCAUGAACAACACAUCACGAGGCAGAUUUCUGCCCUCACCAGAAGAGCUGGUGACUCCUUGGCUGGGCCCAGGCUGCUGGUGUUUUCUCCAGGGCACCAGUGCAGAUGGGUUUGGAUCCUGAUGGCCUGCAAACCGACAAAGCAGCUUGACA